CUGGGGGCCAUACCAGGCGGGAAUUCCCUGUUUCUCAAAAAGGGGGUCAGUGGAGAAGGGGAUGAGGCCAGCCCGUAUUUUAGUCUACAAUUAUCCCAUAUUCGGAUCGAGUUGAGGAUUGCCGGGCAUGUUUUUCGUAUCUCCGGUCUAUGUUCUGGCGAGACCCAUAUCGUGAAUUGGGGUACGUCAACACCUACCAUCAAAGCCUCUAUCUCUACCCACCUUCUCUCAUCCAUCGUGGAAUGCCACAUGGCUAUCUGCGCCAGCUGAGCCGCCAAAUAGUAGAAAUAGAGGUUCGGCAGGCCCAAUCCCCCUCUGUCUUUGCGACGGUAUAACACUUGUUUAGCAAUUCGAUGUCUCUUGUUCUGCCAAAUAAAAUCUCCAAUCGAUCUUUGCAGCGGUAGUAAUUGCGUCUUCGUUACUCUUAUGGGUAGCGCCUGGAAGAGGAAUAAUAUACGUGGAAGUAUAUUCAUCUUCACUGAGUGUAUUCUGCCGAUCCAAGAUAUGGGUUUGUCCGUCCAUUUGUCUAAGUCCCUCAUCAGGUCUCUAAACAUAGGGGUAUAGUUAGCUAAGUAUAGGCGUUCGGGAUCAGCUGUCAUAUUAAUUCCCAAAUACUUCAAAGAGUCCGUUUCCAUGCGG